rnacentral:lncRNA from 1 species
AGUAGAUGUGCAUCAUGGAGGCCAUUAUGAAACCCAGUACAGAAAGGAAUGGAUAAGAUGGGCUCCUCUCUUCGUAGCUCUGCCUUUUCAGGUUUCUAAGAGGACCUUCAGAGGCUUUGUAAAAGAACUAGAUUUUGAAAAAGCUUCAGCAGAACAUAAGGACUGUCCCUGCUCCUUAAUAGAAGCAACUUCCCAGUGGCCAGAAGAAGUGAGUUUCCUGGAUAUGCAGUCUCCAUCUCCUGGGAGACCUGGCAAACAUUUCAUGCAACUUGGACGUACAGAACUGGCUUCCUUUCUGGCCCUCUGCACUCUUCCUUUAUGCCCUAGAGAUAGCCCAGCCUGGGCAGCGCCCUUUGGGGAAGUGGGAAGAGAAAAAAGAACCUUUGUAGCAGAAACUCAAAUAUGUGUGGAAUCUGUGAAAAUCCAAUCCAUGAAAUGAUGUAGCUCAAUGUAAUUCAGAGAUGUGAGACUUCAGAUAUUUGUAAAAGAUGCUCUUAGCCAUGUCUAAAAUAUUCUCUGAAGUCUUCAUUUUCAUUUGGAUCACAGUAUAAUUCACCUGAACCACUGGGGCGAAUGUGAAUGCACAUGAUACUUUUAGCAGGAUGACAUUCUUCAUGCAGGACUUUGAGCUUUUUUGGUAAAUCUCCUCUGCCUUGGAGCCCAGUGGAUGACACAGGGACUUCCGCUCCCAGAUUUCCGCUGCUCCCGGAUGUGAGUCCCUGCUGAGUUCAUGGCCUUUCUUAGGUCAGACAAUGAGCACUGCGGGGUCCCACGUGCUUCCUAUUCAACCUCAGCUGCCAAAGGAGUGAGAGCCAAAUUCUGCAUCCCCAUUAGUGUAAUUAACAACUACCAAGUGCCAGUUACACCGACUCCCUCUUCCUUUAGAUGCUAUCUCUUCCAUUCUGAUUCCUAGCUGCUCCAACAUAUGAUCUUUCAUCUUGUCAGCCACCCCAGGUCCUUUGAGAAAAAGGCCUUACAUCAAUAAUAAAAAUAAAAAUUAUAGCUUGAAAAUUAACUAAUAGAAAACCGGGUAUGUCACAGUUCUGUCAUCCCAGCACACUGGGAGGCUGAUGCAGGAGGAUUGCAAGUU